AGCCACUUAGCUUUGAAACUGAAUUUUAACAAUGUUCCAAAAGGAGAAAUAAGGUAUAGCAUCUCACUACAAAUCCUCCAUCUCAAAACAUGGGGCCUGGAGUGGCCCCCCAAGACCCUACCCCUAAAACAAACUGGCUGUGGAUAUGGUGACAGAUUAGAAAGUUAAACCCUUCACCUCCAUGAAAGAAUCUGGAAUGGAGGCCAGAAACCUGGUCCACAUAUUCCUCUUGGAUCAUGAAGGCAGCUAAGUUGGCAGUGUAGCUGGCCAGGAAGAUGACAGCAAAGAAGGCCCACACUGACACCAUGAUCUUGGAGGUGGUCCCCUUUGGGUUCUGCACAGAUGUUCCACUUCUCACUGGUGCCACACAGGCUGGGAUAUAGGUCAUGGCUUCUGGAUGAAGCACAGGUGGAAGGCCCCUGAUUGUACCAUGCCAUGGAGACACCCCAACUCCCACCUCAGAAUACACAAACCAAAUUAAAAGCAAACCCAUCAUUUACCUAAGAAGGCAGAAGGUGAGACAGUCCCAUUGCUGCGUGACACCAUGACACUGAUGCCUGUCUCUAUGAAGGGCACAGAGAAGUCGACCACCUCCGAUCGUUCCUCAUUGAUGAUGGCUACAGAGGAGUUUGAUGACUUGCCCAAGCUCCCACGGUAAGUGACUUGAAGCUGAGCAGUCUGACUCCAGAGCUUGGACUCCUACCCACCACUCUGCACUGCUUCUCUGACAAUGAAGGAGUAAGACAUGUUCCUUUUCCUCCAAGGACAGUCUAGAGGGAAAAGACACUAUCCAUCGACAAUAAUAGGCUUUGGUAAUUACUCUAAUAUCCACUAUCCAUUGACAAGUUAGGCUUUGGUAAUUACUGUAAUAAAAGAUAUAAAUAAAGUACUCCGGCAUUCAGA